CGAGAGGUGCAAGACCUCGGCGCACUGCUCAGUAACACGUGGAUAACCUACCCUCAGGAGGGGGAUAACCCCGGGAAACUGGGGAUAAUACCCCAUAGAUCAGGGAUGCUGGAAUGCCCCCUGAUUCAAAGGUCCGCCGCCUGAGGAUGGGUCUGCGGCCGAUUAGGUUGUUGUUGGGGUAACGGCCCAACAAGCCAUUGAUCGGUACGGGUUGUGAGAGCAAGAGCCCGGAGAUGGAUUCUGAGACACGAAUCCAGGCCCUACGGGGCGCAGCAGGCGCGAAAACUUUACAAUGCGAGAAAUCAUGAUAAGGGAACCCCGAGUGCCCGUAAAUUCGGGCUGUCCAUCAGUGUAAAUAACUGGUGAAGAAAGGGCCGGGCAAGACCGGUGCCAGCCGCCGCGGUAAUACCGGCGGCUCGAGUGGUGACCACUAUUACUGGGCUUAAAGCGUCCGUAGCUGGAUUGUUAAGUCUCUUGGGAAAUCCACCGGCUCAACCGAUGGGCGUUCAGGAGAAACUGGCAAUCUAGGGACCGGGAGAGGUGAGAGGUACUCCAGGGGUAGGAGUGAAAUCCUGUAAUCCUUGGGGGACCACCUGUGGCGAAGGCGUCUCACUAGAACGGCUCCGACAAUAAGGGACGAAAGCUGAAGGAGCAAACCGGAUUAGAUACCCGGGCAGUCCCAGCUGUAAACGAUGCGCGUUAGGUGUAUCGGUGACCACGAGUCAUCGAGGUGCCGAAGGGAAACCGUGAAACGUGCCGCCUGGGAAGUACGGUCGCAAGGCUGAAACUUAA
rnacentral:rRNA from 1 species